CGACUAAAUAAUAAAUAAACACAAACAACAAAAUUCCAUUAAUAUACCAAGUUGACAAAGGAACUAGGAAUUACACUUCUAAAGUCAUGGAAACAACAAAUGUAGAAGCAUCAAUUGUUUAUCAUAUAUGAUGACUAUCCUUUGAUUCCUCUCAAUCUUUCUUCUGCUUCUAAUCCACCUUAUAAUCUCUUUUAGGACGAUUGAAUUUAGAAUACGAACUCGAUUCUUCACAGCUUUAAAGAUCAUUAGAGUUCAUGGCUCUAAAGACGACUUCAAUGUCCAUUAAUAUCUAUUAGCUAAAAACAAGAAUCCUUCACUUCUUCUACAAUAUUACAGGUAAUGUAUUGUUCUUUUCUGCUGCCAUUUUGCGUAACUACCAAACAAGUAAAAAAGAUAAAUGCAUAAUAAUAAUAAUAAUUUUAUCAAUAAAUAAAAUAAAAUAAUGUUUGACCGAUAAGAAAAUUUCGUUAUAAUAAAUUAAUUUUAUUAUUUAAUGAAGACUUUGUAUAAUUAUAUAGAAUGAGCUAUAUUUUCUUGCAAUGCUAAUUAUAAAGAAGAAUAGAUAUUACAUGGCGUGGCUUGAAAAUUUAGAACUACUUAAUUUUUUUUUGUUAAAUGUGUUGUCCAAAUAAAAUAAUUUCCAAUAUUCUUGGAGAUUAUAGCAGUGAGCUGUGGCUGUAAUGGGUGCCACCUUUACAAAGAGUUGCAAAAUUUUUGGGGUUCCAUACUCAAGUUGCUUUUGACUACACAACUGAAAAAACUAACUAAACGAUGUAUCAAUUUCUACGUGGCAAACGCUAACCACUAUCGCUGCUCUGCCCUGCUACUUACUACUAUAUGUUGUCCCCGUUGGCGACGCGUGGAUAGCCUUAUUCUCCUGUUAAAAAAAAAAAAGUGAUUUUUCUUAUCUAAAUUUAAUUAAUUAUAUAUUCAAAAUAUAAAAUACAAGAUAUAUAAUAAAAUUAAUUUAUUAAAUAAAGAUUUAUAAUAGAUCGAGUCUAAAUAAAAAUUUUUCAAAACUAUAUUAAUAUUGUGUUUUCCGUUCUAUUAAUUAUUAUUAUCAUUUUUUUAUAAUCAGCUUAUAUUAGGAUUUGAAUUAAAAUUUCAAUUGAGAUUCAAACUUGAAACUUGUAAUUCUAUAAAAUGAUUUUA
rnacentral:misc_RNA from 1 species